UACAGAGGUCUCGAGCGUUAGUCGGAAUCACUGGGCUUAAAGCGUGCGUAGGCGGAUGCGCAGGCGUCGUGUGAAAGCCCUCGGCUCAACCGAGGAAUUGCACGGCGAACCGCGCGUCUUGAGACGAGUAUGGGCGGUCGGAACGAUAGGUGGAGUGGUGAAAUGCGUUGAUAUCUAUCGGAACGCCAAAGGUGAAGACAGGCCGCUGGGCUCGUUCUGACGCUGAGGCACGAAAGCGUGGGGAGCAAACGGG
rnacentral:rRNA from 1 species